GAUGAACGCUGGCGGCGUGCCUAAUACAUGCAAGUCGAGCGAAUGGAUUAAGAGCUUGCUCUUAUGAAGUUAGCGGCGGACGGGUGAGUAACACGUGGGUAACCUGCCCAUAAGACUGGGAUAACUCCGGGAAACCGGGGCUAAUACCGGAUAACAUUUUGAACCGCAUGGUUCGAAAUUGAAAGGCGGCUUCGGCUGUCACUUAUGGAUGGACCCGCGUCGCAUUAGCUAGUUGGUGAGGUAACGGCUCACCAAGGCAACGACGCGUAGCCGACCUGAGAGGGGGAUCGGCCACACUGGGACAGAGACACGGCCCAGACUCCUACGGGAGGCAGCAGUAGGGAAUCUUCCGCAAUGACGAAAGUCUGACGGAGCAACGCCGCGUGAGUGAUGAAGGCUUUCGGGUCGUAAAACUCUGUUGUUAGGGAAGAACAAGUGCUAGUUGAAUAAGCUGGCACCUUGACGGUACCUACCAGAAAGCCACGGCUAACUACGUGCCAGCAGCCGCAGUAA
rnacentral:rRNA from 1 species